rnacentral:rRNA from 1 species
AGAGUUUGAUCAUGGCUCAGGGUGAAUGCUGGCGGCGUGGAUAAGUCAUGCAAGUCAAGGGGGCCCGCAAGGGCAACCGGCAGACGAGGUAGUAACACGUAGGUAGAUCCCCCGAAGUCGGGCAUAGCCAUCCGAAAGGAUGGGUAAUUCCCGAUAGUCCCGCAAGGGUAAAGGUUUUUCGCUUCGGGAGUUGCCUGCGUAGUAUCAGCUAGUUGGUAGGGUAACGGCCUACCAAGGCUACGACGCUUAGGGGGGCUGAGAGGCCGAUCCCCACCGAUGGAACUGCGACACGGUCCAUACUCCUACGGGAGGCUGCAGACGAGAAUAUUCCGCAAUGGACGAAAGUCUGACGGAGCGACGCCGCGUGAUGGAUGAAGUGCCUUGGUACGUAAACAUCUUUUAUCGGGGACGAAGUUUAUUGACGGUACCCGAUGAAUAAGGAGCUCCUAACUCUGUGCCAGCAGGAGCGGUAAUACAGAGGCUCCAAGCAUUACCCGGAAUCACUGGGCGUAAAGGGUGUCUAGGCGGCCAUAUUAGUCUUUCGUUAAAUCUGCGGGCUUAACCUGCAGGCUGCGAGGGAAACGGUAUGGCUCGAGGGCGUAAGAGGUGCACGGAACUCAUGGUGGAGGGGUGAAAUCCGUUGAUAUCAUGGGGAACACCAAAGGCGAAGGCAGUGCACUGGUACGUUCCUGACGCUCAAACACGAAAGCCAGGGUAGCGAACGGGAUUAGAUACCCCGGUAGUCCUGGCCCUCAACGUUGCUCGCUCGUUUUACGGAGUAUCGACCCUCUGUGAGACUAAGCUAACGCGGUAAGCGAGCCGCCUGGGUAGUACGAUCGCAAGAUUAAAACUCAAAGGAAUUGACGG